rnacentral:rRNA from 1 species
GAGGUAACCCGCAAGGGAGCCAGCCGCCGAAGGUGGGGCAAGUGAUUGGGGUGAAGUCGUAACAAGGUAGCCGUACCGGAAGGUGCGGCUGGAUCACCUCCUUUCUAAGGA